rnacentral:rRNA from 1 species
AUUGAACGCUGGCGGCAUGCCUUACACAUGCAAGUCGAACGGCAGCAUGAUCUAGCUUGCUAGAUUGAUGGCGAGUGGCGCACGGGUGAGUAAUACAUCGGAACGUGCCCUGUAGUGGGGGAUAACUAGUCGAAAGAUUAGCUAAUACCGCAUACGACCUGAGGGUGAAAGUGGGGGACCGCAAGGCCUCAUGCUAUAGGAGCGGCCGAUGUCUGAUUAGCUAGUUGGUGCGGUAAAGGCUCACCAAGGCGACGAUCAGUAGCUGGUCUGAGAGGACGAUCAGCCACACUGGAACUGAGACACGGCCCAGACUCCUACGGGAGGCAGCAGUGGGGAAUUUUGGACAAUGGGCGAAAGCCUGAUCCAGCAAUGCCGCGUGUGUGAAGAAGGCCUUCGGGUUGUAAAGCACUUUUGUCCGGAAAGAAAUGGCGCUGGUUAAUACCUGGGGUCGAUGACGGUACCGGAAGAAUAAGGACCGGCUAACUACGUG